rnacentral:rRNA from 1 species
GAAUCUUGCACAAUGGGCGAAAGCCCGAUGCAGCCAUGCCGCGUGAAUGAUGAAGGCCUUAGGGUUGUAAAAUUCUUUCGUCAGGGAUGAUAAUGACCGUACCUGAACAAGAAGCCCCGGCUCACGUUGUGCUAGCUGCCGCGGUAAUACGAAGGGGGCUAGCGUUGUUCGGAAUUACUGGGCGUAAAGCGCACGUAGGCGGACUUUUAAGUCAGGUGUGAAAUCCCGGGGCUCAACCUCGGAACUGCAUUUGAAACUGGAAGUCUUGAGACCAGGAGAGGUUAGCGGAAUACCGAGUGUAGAGGUGAAAUUCGUAGAUAUUCGGUGGAACACCAGUGGCGAAGGCGGCUAACUGGACUGGUACUGACGCUGAGGUGCGAAAGUGUGGGGAGCAAACAGG